rnacentral:rRNA from 1 species
GACGAACGCUGGCGGCGUGCCUAAUACAUGCAAGUCGAACGCAGUGGCGGACGGGUGAGUAACACGUGGGUAACUACCCAUCAGAGGGGGAUAACACUUGGAAACGAUAGCUAAUACCGCAUACUAGUAGGUGGACCUGCGUUGUAUUGGGUAGUAGGUUGGGUAAUGGCCUACCUAGGCGACGAUACAUAGCCGUACGUGUAGGGUGAUCGGCCAACCCUGGGUUUAGACACGGCCCAGACUCCUACGGGAGGCAGGAAGAGUGACUUUUCGGCAAUGGGGGGAACCCUGACCUCGCAACGCCGCGGGAGUGAAGAAGGUUUUCGGAUCGUAAAGCUCUGUUGUUAAGGAAGCGGUACUUAACCAGAAAGCGACGGCUAACUACGUGCCAGCAGCCGCGGUAAUUC